UUUUUGAUGAUAACAAAUAAUCACGAUUAUUGGACUAAUCUUUUUAUCUUGAGUCUUGUGUUUUUAGAUCUCUCUAUCUUCAAAAAGGAUUCAAGAUGGGCAAUAUUCUGGCACCAAGCUUCACCUCUUGAAGCUGUGUUUGCUUCUUUUGUCAAAUAGACAAACUCACUCUCUCCAUUCUUAAUUGAUUAAUAUUAUGCUUAUGAUCAGAGUAAGAAACUUUGAGUUAAGUUUAAACUAUUCAUCUUAUCACCUUAUAGAUCAUUUAAACAAAAUUCUAAAUUUAUGAUUAGGUGAAAAGGACUUUUAAAUAUUCAAAAAUUGCUCAAAUUCUGUGUUCUGUAAAGUUAAAAUUUCUGGACCCUGUUCUGGGCGCCCGAAAGUGGAUCCGAAUCUUUUGAGACCUUUUGGAUCCUGCCUGUUUGCUGUUCGGGUGAUCCAGAAACACUAAGACUGUUUGACUUGACAGGUUGCGACAACAGGCGGCGCGAAAUCUGGGCGCCCAGAUUUUGUGGAAGCAGCGGCGCACGCAAUCUGGGUUGUCUGGCAAGAAAGUCAGCACGACUUUUUGAGCGCCCACAACUUUUGAAAGUUGUCCCUCGAGAUCUGGGCGCCCACAACUUUCUGACGGCCCAAAUCCAGAGGAAGCGGCGCGUGUCAGAAAAGCGGUUCCUCGUGUUCUGUGCGCCACAACUUUUGACGGCCCAGAACUUACGAAGUCAAGAAAAGCUGCGCGUGUCAGAAAUACUGUUCCUCGAGAUCUGGGCGCCCACAGCAAAAGACCUAAUCAAAAGAUUUGGCUUGGAAAGCUCAAAAGAGACGAACACUCCAAUGAGUGUCUCAACUAAACUUGACAAGGAUGAAAAAGGCAAGGAUGUUGAUAUCAAACUCUACCGAGGUAUGAUUGGCAGUUUACUUUAUCUUACCGCAAGUCGGCCGGACAUUAUGUUUAGUGUUUGCUUGUGUGCUCGGUUUCAAACUCAACCUAAGGAGUCACACUUAGUGGCUGUAAAGAGAAUUCUUAGAUAUGUUAAAGGGACUCUCAACUUAGGGUUAUGGUAUCCCAAGGGCACUAAUUUUAAUCUCAUUGGCUUUUCAGAUGCCGACUUUGCCGGAUGCAAAGUUGAUCGGAAAAGUACGAGUGGGACUUGUCAAUUUCUUGGUCACUCCUUAGUCUCAUGGUCUUCGAAAAAGCAAAAUUCGGUUGCACUUUCAACCGCCGAAGCCGAGUACAUCGCGGCAGGUUGUUGUUGUGCACAAGUUUUAUGGAUGAAACAAACCCUUGAGGACUUUGGACUACAUCAAAAACAAGUUCCAAUCAAAUGUGAUAAUACUAGUGCCAUCAACAUAUCUAAAAAUCCUAUUCAACAUUCUAGAACUAAACACAUUGAAAUUAGACAUCAUUUUAUUAGAGAUCAUAUUCAAAAAGAAGAUGUCACUAUAGAAUUUGUGGACACUUGUAAUCAAUUAGCAGAUAUUUUUACUAAACCACUUGGUGAGGAUAAGUUCACUCAACUUAGAAGAGAAUUAGGAAUGAUUGAUUUAUCUGCUUGAUUUUCCUUUUUGAUUGACUGUUAUGUUUGCUUUUCAAUUUUAUUUUUGGACACACAUUUUUGUUUUGCGCAACUUACGGACGAAAAUUUUCGGUCGCCUGAAAAUUUUCGGGCACCCGAAACAUGCGUUGACCACACAGUGCACCGUCUGACCGACCUAACGGGUUAACGGGCUUCGGAUCCGGGCGACCACUCGGUUCGCACCCGCACCCGAAAACCCGCCUUGACCGCCUCGCCGGUUUGACCGCGCUGGCGGGUUACCGGGUUCCGGAUCCGGGCGACCGAUCCGACCCGCACUCGCGCCCGCUUUGACCGCCGCGCCGUUUUGACUGCCCUGGCGGGUUCCGGGUUGCGGAUCCGGGCGACCUCGCCGACCCGCACGAGCGCCCGAAACCCGCUAGCGGGCCCCUUUGUCGUCCCCAGCAGCCCGACAGCCCUAUUUUCCAUUUUUUUUUCUCUUCUUCCUCCUCCUCUCCAUCCGGUCGCCCAGAUCCUGCGCCCACCCAGCAUCAAAUCCGCCCAAAACUCCUCCAAAACUCGGAUUUCCUCUCCUCUCCUCCUCAAUCUGUGGUAUUUUCCUUUCUUUUUAAUUUUUUUUUUCUCUUCUUCCUGCUGUUAACCCUAGGAUUGUAUUUUUUAAAAAUUUUUUUUUGCAGGUUUCUUGUACUUUUUGCACUAUAAUCUCAUUCUCUACCUAGAUUUACAUCUUAGCAUUUUAGAUCUUGCUCAUUUUUUUUGCAUAAAACCCUAGUUCCUUUUUUUUUUGCUGUCAACCCCAAAUUUUUUUUUACUAAUUUAUAUGCAACAUAAUCUUUUCUUCUACAUUGCAUCCUAGAUCUUGUAUUUUAAAUUUUUUUUUUUAACCCUAGCUUUCACCCCAAAUAAUUUUUUUACUAAUUUCUUGUCAUUUAUGCACCUUAAUCUUUGUCAUCUACCUUAUUUCUCUUAGGUCUAAGCACCUUGUCACUGAUCUUCCAUCUUGCUCAUUUUUUAUUUUGCAUAAAACCCUAGUUUUAAAAAAAUAAAAAAAAAAACAAAAAUGCCUAGAACUAAAAAUGCAUCUAGAAGAGGAUCUCCCUCACAUAGAUAUGAUCAAAACGAAGAUUUUGAUGCUUUUAAUUUUGUAUCUCGAGAGGCUCAAGAUAAAUAUCUUUUAGGUCGUCCCGUUCAACCUUGCCGUAAUAUUCAUCAUCUCAAUUUUGAUUGCUAUGAACUUUUGGAUAAACUCACACAAGUUGGAUGGGAUUUCUUUGUUCAAAAUUCGCGACCAUUUUAUCCGGAUCUCAUUAGGACUUUUUAUGCAAAUGCCACUUUUAAUUCCGAAUAUACUACUAUUACCUCCCACUUCCGGGGACGUGUUUUUGCCAUCACUCCUAUCCUUCUUCACACUGUUUUGAACAUUCCUAAUGACGGGGUUUGCUAUUACCAAACUAACACUUGGAACUUUCCUGCAUUUUCUGAGGCGCAACUCAGCAAUCAUUUUCUUUGUGAAGAAUCUAUUUGCGGGGAUCCGGGUAAAUUUGGGGUAUAUCAUCAUUCGCCACAUGGCCGUCGCCAUUUCUCAUCCCUCGCGCUCACUUCCCUAUGGCUCUUUGCUCACCGCUGUUCUCGAGUUCAUGUCAUUUGAUCUUUCUGACGUAAGGCCGAUGAAGUACCCUACUGCCAUUUCUACUGCCACUUUCUCUACUCUCGGCUUCAAGAAAAAUCGCCAUGGCAUUUGGGUAAGGAAACAUGUGAUUGAUUCGCCUAGCGAGCAUGCUGAUGACAUUGACGACGCCGAGGAUGAUCCUAUGCCUUAUGAGCCGCCGCCACGAGCAUCUCCUCCACCAUUUGAGCCGCCGCCACGAGCAUCUCUUCCACCAUUUGAGCCACCCCCUACUGUGCCUCCGCCCUAUGUUCCUCCACCUAUGGAUUUCCAAACCCAGGUUUUUGAUCGACUUGAUAGGAUGGAAGAUCAUAUGCAUGCUCUCCAGACAGAUGUUUCCGGCAUUAAGGCAUAUAUGGACUCCCUCUUUGGACCUUCGAGUGCCUUUUAUGCCGCGUAUGGACCCCACACUGAUCGACCAUCCUCCUCCACUAUGCCCCCACCAGUUUCGCCUACGGAUCAUGAGGACGAUGAAGAGGAUGACGAUGAUGAUGAUGAUUAGCUUCUGUUUCUACCAGUUUUAUGCCUUUUUUUUUUGUGAUGACAAAGGGGGAGAACUUGCUAUGUGAUAUACUAUAUUAUGUUAUGGUUUGUUAUGGUUUAUUAUGCUCCUUUUAUGCUUGAGGUUUAUUAUGCUCUGGUUUAUUAUGCUCUGACAUUUGCCUACAUGAUUGCUUACUUCUUUUAUUGUGAUAUAUACUAUGCAUAUGAUUGUGUUUUAUGCAUGUUAAAUAUAUGCAUAUAUUUAGGGAGAGUAUUCUACUCUUUUACUCUCUACUCAUUUGGAUAUUAUAUCACAUUAUUUGUCAUCAUCAAAAAGGGGGAGAUUGUUGGCCUAAUGGCCCUAAUCGUCUAUUAGUUUUUGAUGAUAACAAAUAAUCACGAUUAUUGGACUAAUCUUUUUAUCUUGAGUCUUGUGUUUUUAGAUCUCUCUAUCUUCAAAAAGGAUUCAAGAUGGGCAAUAUUCUGGCACCAAGCUUCACCUCUUGAAGCUGUGUUUGCUUCUUUUGUCAAAUAGACAAACUCACUCUCUCCAUUCUUAAUUGAUUAAUAUUAUGC
rnacentral:lncRNA from 1 species